CCGGCUGUGGUGCUCCCAAGCGGUUUGGGAGCACCAUACUCCCAUUCUGUCUGAGCCGUCAGAUGCUAUGGAUUUAAUCGCAGCCAUUGAUAUAAAACUCCCCCUCUCUCUCAUUUACCUCCUACUCCUGGUUACCUUUUGCACGUGAAAAAAUGGCCAAGCCCGAAUCCUUUCUCCUCCUCCCUCCCGCCUCUCUCUCCUCACGCCUCCUCAGCUCCUCUCCUCUCCACAGACGCCCCUCUAGGGCAUCCACCUCCACAGCUCCCUAAUGCAAACGACGAAAUCAGACUCGGACGCCUCCUGCCACCUUCUCCUGUGCUCCUCUCCAGUCGACCGAAUCCUCCGCACCUCCACAGCCCCGUGAGCAAACGUCGAAAGCCCUCUCUCUCUCUCUCUCUCUCUCUCGCACGCACAUACACAGACUCCUCUACAUGUACACGUACGCAUGCACCCACCCUUGUACACACCCAUAGCCCUAGCAUUUUUGGGGAUUCAACUACUCUGCUGUGUUGACUUGACUACCAGGUUUUUUAAGUGUCCAUCCCCCUCUCUCUUGAAUUCAAAACAACAUCAGGAUGUUUUAGAUGGGGUUUUUCUAAUUUCCUCUGUUGUCAUUCUCGAUUGUUUAAAUUGGCCAAAUCUCUUGGAUGAGAAGUUUGGGAAAUAGGUUUUGCCGGCUAUAUUCCACAGAUUUUGCUAAAGACUUGUGUUAGUAUUGGAUGGGCUUUUUCCUGCAGUAAUCUCUGUUUAAGGGCUACCAAUGACUUGGGGAUGGUUCUAUUUGGUCCCCUCUCCCUUUAUUUUAUUAACUCGAAUAAAACAUUUUAGCAAUCGAUGUUAGUUUGUGGUAAGCACUUGGAAAUGGGUCUGAUUCUCAUUUCACUAAAUUGUAUGAUGGCCCAAUUGAGAAACUGACUUUGGAAGUUCCCUGUUUAUGGUGGAAGAGUCGACCUUUUUAAGUUUUAGAAUGGCUUCAUGAUAAUCGGAGUGCGCUGCCAACAAAGAUGAGCGGUCAAGCACUCAAGCACCACCAAAUAUGUGAUUUAGCUGAUUAACCUCAAGGAUUUUUGUUUGGGUUCUGAAUUAUUUGCUGUGGUACAACUAGGAUUUUUCAUUUUAUAUAUUGAAUUAAUUGAUACAUUUUCUUUUGUUUCUUGUUGUUCAGACUUCAGACAUGUGAGCUACUAGAGGGAUUGAACUACUUGGGAUUGGGUUUGCCGUCAAUGCAUUAUAAAGAUGCUUGGCUUGGUUCAAUUUUUCUUUCAUUCUCUUUCUAAAAGAAUAAAUAGUAUUUCCAACUUGUAAGGUAUAAGUUUCUUAACGCCAUGAUUCUUUGUGAAAGGUAUAAGUUUUGUAAUGCCAUGAUUCUUUUUUUAAUCACCUUAAUGGGAUAACUAAAUGUACGUGUGUUGAUGAGGAUAUAUGGAAGACAUAAGUAGUAGUCUUGUGUGUAGUUGAACCAUGAAUAAACAUGUGGCAAACUCAUUUUUGUCAUCCCCUUGCACAAACAUUAAGUUAAUUUGAAUCAUGUUUUCUUUACCCUCUUUUUGUUUUUUGGUCAAAUGACUAGAAUGUAGACUACAUCCCUGCAAGAAAUUUUGUUGUCCCUGUCUUGUUUGAUGGAUAAGGCUCAUCGCUAUUGUUGGUUGAGCAUGCAAAAGUUAGUCUGUUCUUUGUCUGUUUCUGAUCAAUAGCUUCUUUAUGAGUGGUAACUAGUACAUGUGUUAAAGUCUUUUUGACAGAGAUGAUGACAAAUGAUUGCUGGUGGUUAGUUUUGCAUGUGUGUAUGCCUUCUCCGCCUGUUAAUGAGCUAUGUUUUGUAUUUUUAUUCUGAUGCUUUGUAACUUCUUCUCCACCAUUCAAUGAUUAAUGAUGCUAGUCAAUUGGUUGAGUCGUUUCAAAGUAGAAAGCCUCUCAUGCUGUUAGUAAGUAGCACCAUUUUCCUUUCUGUAGUGGUAGUUUUACAAGGGUAGUUCAAGUAGCCUUAAUUUGCUGUUGGAUGGAGGAUCCAUCAUAGCUUAAUUUUCACCUUCUCAUGGACUCACGGUGAGAUGGACACUUGCACUUGGAAGAAUAAUAGUGUUAAUGUGUUAGCUUUUACUUUGUCAUUUCUUUUGCUUAUUUAUGAUCUAAACACUGUUAGAUAAACUAAGGAUUGUAUAAUGGUUUUUUUUUUGCUCGGCAGUUAUAGUGUUAAUGUAUGUUCCACUCAAGUCUCAAAUGGGACAUGCAGAAUGUAAUUGAUGAGUUAAGGAAAAACCAAGUAAGUAGUUAUGAUUUUCUACAUUGAAUGUCAUUGUGGACUACUUUGAAUAAUGACGUUUUCCCUUCUUUCUUUCUUUUUUGAAACUUUCUAGCGUUGGCAACUAUUGGAGGACCACCACCUACACCCAUUUUCCCCCCCUCAAUACGAAUGGUAAUUAGUUUUGAGCUCUCGGGAAAGAUUGCAGAAUUUUAUAUUCUUGCUUCUGAAUUAAUGCUAAUUGUGAUGAAUCUUGCUUUUAGUUUUCCAAUUAUGGAGUAUAUUCUUCGAGAUUGUAGUCUAUGAUUGAAUUUAAUAUUGGUUUGUAACUCCACUUGUCAGUUUGUUCUCCUACUUGAUGAUGCUACCUGUCUAUUUUUUUUGAGGUUGCCUGGUCGUGGUUUGCUAAAGGCUCGUUGGUCUUGUUUUCUGUUGCUGCUCCUAAAAAUUUGAAUACGAUUGUCGCUGAAAGUUUGUGAUAUUAGUUUGCUAUUUUUGUUUUGGCAUUGUAUUUUGGCCUUCUUCCUAUUUGUUUACUUGGCGGGAGAAAAAUGAUACUUUCUUUGCUCCUUAAAACUGCCCUAAUAGUACCCAUGGCUGCUGAGUGGUAAGCCAUUCAUUGGCCUACUUCUUAUUGGGUUUUUUUUUUCUGGAUUUCUCACUAUGAGAAUCAACUGCAUGAUACGAUGAUUAGAUCUUCGUGUCUUGAUUGGUAUCCGCAAAUACAUGUGUUUUUUGCCUUCAACAGCAUCUACGACCAUACAGGCAUAUUUGGAAUUCAAGCUACCACUAUAAGCAGCUUCUUUGAUCUUUUAUGAUACCUACUACAAUGAAUGUUUCUCUUUUCUCUUCUUUUUUUUUGCGACGACUAAUAUGAUAUCUACUACGACGGCUAACAUUGAGUCUGACACUUGCAAAUGGCCGAAGACGAAGAAAAUGUUGAUUCAAAUUUAAUUAUGAAGAGUCGGCCAAGAUAAAUUUCAGCUGUGAAGAAAGUGGGAUCGGCUUAAUUUUUGGAUUUGAUCCUUUUUGAGGAGAACAAGUACAGGAGAGAAGUUACUCGAAAGGCUCAACAAAAAUAUCUCGACACUGGAAGGAAAAAUUGACGACAUUGUUUGGCUCAUGGAGAAUAGGUGUAGUUGUGUAGAUCAUUAAACUUGACAUGCCUUGGUGGCCUUUUUUUUAUAACCAUUUAUUGAUUAAUGUCAUGUCUUGGUAGCUCUCUUUUUUUCUUUUUCUUUUUUUUUUAUCAAUGUUGAUGAAUUUGAUGCCUUGGUGGCUCUUGUUGUUCGAUCAAUGGUAAUUUCUUGUCUUG